rnacentral:lncRNA from 1 species
UUCUAUCGAUUCUGACUUGAGUAUCAAAGAAUCCCUGCUAGAGCCCACUCCGACCAGGGACUUAUUUGGCAAGUCUGGUUGCCAUCACCUACCCAGACACCACCUAACUCUAGCCCAUUUGACCCAAGCUAGGGAUUUGCAACAACAGAUUGGUGCUAGAGAAAGGGUCAAAAUCUUUUUUUGGGAAGGAGCAUGAGAUCUACAACCAUGCCACCUUGAAGGACUUCAUCUCGAUGUUCAAAUGCUACGGCGGGGCCAAUCGACUAAAAACCUAAUCGGGAAUCAUGUUCCAGUUCAACAAUCAAUGGCACCUUUGCAACCCCCCAACCGACUAUGUAGGUAAAUCAAGACCAAUUUAAUAUCCUAAUGGCAUAGGUGUAGUGUUGACCUCAACAGUCAAUGCCAUGCAACAAUCAAGCUCAGCACAGGAAGUGCCCCAACAACAACCAUCUUGAUCUCUCUCAUAAAGUUCAGAUCAGGUUAGGCAAAUGUGAUUGAGUCGACCUUGGAGUUUCGAGUGAAGGAGGCACUCUCCCACUCCCCACUUCAACAAGGGAUCCACUCCAGGCCGAUCUUCAUCCCACCACAUGGAAGUCUAAAUGGCCCAUGACACCACCAU